rnacentral:rRNA from 1 species
UACGUAGGGGGCUAGCGUUGUCCGGAAUCAUUGGGCGUAAAGCGCGUGUAGGCGGUCCGGUAAGUCAGCUGUGAAAGUCGGGGGCUCAACCCUCGGAUGCCGGUGGAUACUGUCGGGCUUGAGUACGGAAGAGGCGAGUGGAAUUCCUGGUGUAGCGGUGAAAUGCGCAGAUAUCAGGAGGAACACCAAUUGCGAAGGCAGCUCGCUGGGACGUUACUGACGCUGAGGAGCGAAAGCGUGGGGAGCGAACAGG